rnacentral:rRNA from 1 species
UAGACCUACGGGGGGCAGCAGUGGGGGAUAUUGCACAAUGGGGGAAACCCUGAUGCAGCGACGCCGCGUGAGUGAAGAAGUAUUUCGGUAUGUAAAGCUCUAUCAGCAGGGACGAAAAUGACGGUACCUGAGUAAGAAGCCCCGGCUAACUACGUGCCAGCAGCCGCGGUAAUACGUAGGGGGCAAGCGUUAUCCGGAUUUACUGGGUGUAAAGGGAGCGUAGACGGUUAUGCAAGUCUGGAGUGAAAGGCGGGGGCUCAACCCCCGGACUGCUCUGGAAACUGUAGAACUAGAGUGCAGGAGGG